rnacentral:rRNA from 1 species
GACGAACGCUGGCGGCGUGCUUAACACAUGCAAGUCGAACGGUGAAGCGCCUUCCUUUUUGGUGGGUGUGGAUGAGUGGCGAACGGGUGAGUAACACGUGAGUAACCUGCCCCCUUCUUCUGGAUAACCGCAUGAAAGUGUGGCUAAUACGGGAUAUUCUGGGUCUGUCGCAUGAUGGGUCUGGGAAAGAUAUUGUUUCGGUGGGGGAUGGGCUCGCGGCCUAUCAGCUUGUUGGUGGGGUGAUGGCCUACCAAGGCGGUGACGGGUGGCCGGCCUGAGAGGGUGGACGGUCACACUGGGACUGAGACACGGCCCAGACUCCUACGGGAGGCAGCAGUGGGGAAUAUUGCACAAUGGGCGCAAGCCUGAUGCAGCGACGCCGCGUGAGGGAUGGAGGCCUUCGGGUUGUGAACCUCUUUCGCCAGUGAAGCAGGCCUGCCUCGUUUGUGGGUGGGUUGACGGUAGCUGGAUAAGAAGCGCCGGCUAACUACGUG